rnacentral:lncRNA from 1 species
CUCCUCCCUCCCUCUCCCCUUUUAAAAAGGAAUUCGGACGAUUAAAACGUUGGGGAGAAACAGUUUAAAGACCUAGGGCAGGAAAUGCAGAUUCAUUUGGGUUAGGACUGAAAUUGUAACAAAAAGCAAUUCCUCGAGUAAAUGCAUCAGAUAAAUCAAUUUACAUAAAGGUAUGAUGCAUUCGGAUAAAUGCAAUGCUAAUGGGUUUUAGAGUGGUCCUGUUUCCAAAGUCUCAGGGUUUUGUUACAGCUUAAUUGGUGCAGUUCUUAUUCUGGUUUAUUGUGCGGUCACUGGACACACGUUCCGGGACUCUUUCGGAGGAAAUGUGUUUAAAAUCAGCCUAUUUAAGGAACUCGAGUCCUUGUUUGGUUCCCUCUCUCUCGUUCUUUUGCAGCAGCCAAGUUGGGCCGGGGACAGGCAAAGUUCGCCCUCUCCCUUCUGAGGUAUCAGCUGAAUGUCUUGAGCAGAUAGCUGGGAGCCUUGGGGGGAGCCCACACUCUUGGCUUACAGAGGACAAAGACAAAACAGGCUGCUUAAUUGGCAGUAAAUAACUUGAUCUUUUUAUAGAAUAAGUGACUGAAGGAACACUAGGACUUUAUUGGACUCAGGAUUGGAGGCAACAAAUUAAUCGGUUUAGGCUAAGCUUUAUAAAUUGAUUCCUAUAUUAUACCCCAGUUGCUUCUCUUAUGGCAUUCAUUAGAAAGAGUGGGGAAUGUUUAAAAGCAGUUUUUGGUGACAGCAGGACUUGGCUCUGAAUAUAACUUGUUCAUCACUUAAUAGUGCCUUCUAGAAUAUUACCUACCCCCCCUCCUUUGGAGUAGCAAAGCUUUAGCAUUUAAAUUGCUGAUCAAGGGCAGAUUAGUGAGACCAAAGUGGAGAGUGUUUGUGUAGGAAGUUAACAGGCAUCCUAAAGUUCAAUGAUCUAUUAUUCUUGCCUGUGUCCUGAAAACCCAGAGAAAAC